UCCCUCUCUCCGUUCCUCUCUCAUCCAUCUCUCUCUCUCCUUGUUCGCUCUCUCCUUUCCUCUCAUCCAUCUCUCUCUCUCCUUUCCCUCUCUCCUUUCCUCUCAUCCAUCUCUCGCUCUCCUUUUCCCUGCUCUCCUUCCCUCACCUCUCUCUCUCUCCCUCCUCCUUCCUCUCAUCCAUCUCUCUCUCUCUCCUUUCCUUCCCUCUCUCCUUUCCUCUCAUCCAUCUCUCUCUCUCCUUUCGCUCUCUCCUUUCCUCUCAUCCAUCUCUCCUCUCCUCCUUUGUCCCUCUCUCCUUUCCUCUCAUCAUGCAUCCACUCUCCUCCUCUCCUCUCCUUUCCCUCUCUCCUUUCCUCUCAUCCAUCUCUCUCUCUCCUUUCCUCUCUCUCCUUUCCUCCAUAUCCAUCUCUCGCUCUCUCUCUUCCUUUGUCCUCUCCCUCCCUUCCUCUAAUCCAUCUCUCUCUCUCCUUUCCUCUCAUCCAUCUCUCUCUCUCCUUUCGCUCUCUCCUUUCCUCUCAUCCAUCUCUCUCUCUCCAGGACACUGUGAGGGUGAGCGGUAUGAGCAGUAUUAAGAUGAAGAUGAUGCCCAAGGUGAAGAGGGAGAGAGAGAAGCUCCACAAGCAGAAGUCCAAUAGCUCUCUGUCAGGAUCUUGGGAUAUUAAAGGUGGCGCAAAUGAGAUGGCUCCUUCAGGCAAUUGAGGAACUUAAACUCAAAGGCUUAACAAGGUACACCCAUCACCAUGGCAGCCCGGGGAGGCGAGGGGUGUCACCCUCUUCUUCCUACGGGACGUGGGCUUUACCUACCGAGGGGUGAGAAGUACAAAAUGAUUCCACGACCCUCCCGCCUUUCAGCUAACACCUCCCCCUUGACUCUCGAUGUUCUCCAUUUUGAAAUUAGGGAGGAGUUGUUUUUAACUAAGGGGUGUGGCUUUGCAUCCUUUCACCAUUUGGGGUCCUGUUAUUGGUUCUAUUUGGCCUGUUGACCCAGGAGGUGGGCGUGGCUUUUUGAGAUGAAAGCAGAGAAGGAGGAGAGACGCUCUCUUAGCAACUUGUUUCCUUGACGACGCAAUGUGUUUACGUAGGCGGAGCUCUCCUUUGCAUGACAUGAGCAGCCAUUUUGUUUUUAUUUUUAAAUAACUCCUUUUUUUGGCAGGCGUUUACACUACCCUUCCUCUUUUCUCUCUUUUUUGUAAUCUUCAUUGACUUUCGUGACAACUUACAGGACUUUUUAGUUUCCUUGAGAAAUCUGAAGUCUGAAGACGACUUUGCUUUCUGUUCCUAUCGCCGUAAGAACAACAAAAUUACAAAUGAACAACAAUGUAAACAACAUCUCAAAUUAUUAACUGGAGACUCAUAAAUGUAAAACAAAAAAUAGACUAUUGCAGGGUCAUAUUGAGGAAUGUACUACAUGUGUGCGUAUUACCUUGUGAAUAUUCAUUUUACCUUGUGAAUAUUCAUAUUACGGUGUGAAUAUUUGUUCUACCGUGUGAAUAUUCAUAUUACUGCGUGAAUAUUCAUAAGGUAGUAUGACUGGCCUGAUGUCUCCCUCCCUGCAUGCCUUCCACUCUUCACAAUCCUAUGAGAUGGAAGAAGUAGCCCAGUAGACACUGAUCUAAGGUCAAGAUUAGAAUUAGAAAUCUGAUCCUAGAUCUGUGGUUAGGACAAACAUUCACCAUGAGCUUAUACAUUCCCUAAUGGUCACGAUUGGCUCUUGUAGAAAUUGGGUAGCGCCUUAUCUGAAGACACUUCUAUAAACUUUUUUUAAUUUUUUUUUAUUACGUUAUUAAUAGGAAGAAUAAAUUCAUAAAUAAUAAUAAAUUAGGAAAUGGAUACAACAUUUAUUACAACAUCCUGUAAUAUCUUGAACAUUUAUUUAAUCAAUUUAAUGCUGAACAAACUUGAAAUAAUGAUGUUUAUAGUCAAUCAGAUAAACUGUUAGCUAUAUGAAUGUGCUACUGUACCAUUAGCAUGCUGCUGUUAGAGGCUUUAAUGAGGUACCUUUACAUAUGUGGAAAGUUUCUUACCAGGCGCACUGGUUUAAAAUGACAUAUGACGAUUGUGUGUGUAUGUGCAAACGACACUGUGUGUGUCGUUCAUUUUACUGUGUCGUUCGAGUUUACUGUAUGUUACCUUGCACUUUACAAAGCGAAACUUCAAGAACACGUGUGUGUGUGUUGUAAAGUGCCCGUUCACUUGUGGUAUUAUUGCUAUGACAACGGUCCCUCUCCGUCGUAUUUAUGACAAAUCUAUACAGAGAUCAUUGUGUGUUAAUAUAUAAAUAUAACCAAGCGAAUGUUAAAGUGUGUGUGUGUGUGUGUGUGUGUAUAUAUAUAAAUAUAUAUAUAUAUACACACACCACAGUACCAGUCAAAAGCUUGGACACACCUACUGUACUCAUUCAAGGAUUUUUCUUUAUUUUUACUAUUUUCUACAUUGUAGAAUAAUAGUGAAGACAUCAAAAUUAUGAAAUAACACAUGGAAUCAUGUAGUAUUUUAGAUUCUUCAAAGUAGCCUUGAUGACAGCUUUGCAUUCUCUUGGCAUUCUCUCAACCAGCUUCAUGUGGAAUGCUUUUCCAACUGUCUUGAAGGAGUUCCCACAUAUGCUGAGCACUUGUUGGGUGCUUUUCCUUUGCUCUGCGGUCCAACUCAUUCCAAACCAUCUCAAUUAGGUUGAGGUAGGGUGAUUGUGGAGGACAGGUCAUCUGAUGCAGCAUUCCAUCACUCUCCUUCUUGGUCUAAUAGCCCUUACACAGCCUGGAGGUGUGUUUUGGGUCAUUGUACAGUUGAAAAACAAAUUAUAGUCCCACUAAGCGCAAACCAGAUGGGAUGGCGUAUCGCUGCAGAGUGCUGAUUAAGUGUGCCUUUAAUUCUAAAUAAAUCACAGACACUGUGACCAGAAAAGCAACAUCACACCUCCUCCUCCAUGCUUCACAGUGGGAACCACACAUGCGAAGAUCAUCUGUACACGUACUCUGCAUCUAACAAAGAACCGGCAGUUUGAAACAAAAAUCUCAAAUUUGGACUCAAAUUUAGACAGAUUUCCACCGGUCUAAUGUCCGUUGAUCGUGUUUCUUGGUCCAAGCGAGUCUCUUCUUCUUAUUGGUGUCCUUUAGUAGUGGUUUCUUAGCAGCAUUCGACCAUGACGGCCUGAUUCACACAGUCUCCUCUGAACAGUAGAUGUUGAGAUGUGUCUGUUACUUGAACUCUGAAGCAUUUAUUUGGGCUGCAAUCUGAUGUGCAGGUAACUCUAAUGAAUGUAUCCUCUGCAGCAGAGGUAACUCUGGGUCUUCUUUUCCUGUGGCGGUCCUCAUGAGAGCCAGUUUCAUCGUAGUGCUUCAUGUUUUUCCUGAUUGACUGACCUUCAUGUCUUAAAGUAAUGAUGGACUGUUGUUUCUCUUUGCUUAUUUGAGCUGUUCUUGCCAUAAUAUGGACUUGGUCUUUUACCAAAUAGUACUAUCUUCUGUAUACCACCCCUACUUUGUCACAACACAACUGAUUGGCUCAAACGCAUUAAGAAGGAAUGAAAUCCCACAAAUGAACUUUUAACAAGGCACACCUGUUAAUUGAAAUUCUUUCCAAGUGACUACCUCAUGAAGCUGGUUGACAGCAUGCCAAGAGUGUGCAAAGCUGUCAUCGAGGCAAAGCUUGGCUACUUUGAAGAAUCUCAAAUAUAAAAUAUAUCACUACAUGAUUCCAUAGUUUUCAUGUCUUCACUAUUAUUCUACAGCGAAAAAAAUAGAAAAUAAAGAAAAACCCUUGAAUGAGUAGGUAUGUCCAAACGUUUGACUGGUACUGUAUAUAAAGAGUUUGUGGUACUGUGUAUGUUUUGCAGGGUUGCAAAAUUCCAGGUAACUCCCCAAAUUCCCAUGUUUUAUAGAAAUCCUGAUUGGAAGAUGUUUUAACCCGAAGGGAAUCAGCAGGAAAUCCAGGAAUCCUCCAACAAGGAAAAAGUCAAAGGAAUUUUGCAACCCUGAUGUUCUCAGUCAACACAUCCUAAUCUCACGGAAGAACGUAUUCUCAGUCAACACAUCCUAAUCUCACGGAGGAACGUAUUCUCAGUCAACUAAUCUCCGAAGGAAGAAUCGUUAUUCUCGGUCAACACAUCGUAAUCUACCGGAAAAGACGUAUUCCGGUCAACACAUCCUAAUCUCACGGAAGAAAAGAACGUAUCUCAUCAACACAUUCCUAAUCUCACGGAGAACGUAUUCUCAGUCAACACAUCCUAAUCUCACGGAAGAACGUAUUCUAGGUCAACACAUCUCUAAUCUCACCGGAAAACGUAUUCUCGGUCAACAAUCCUAAUCUCACCGAAGAACGUAUUCCGGUCAAAACAAUAUCCUAAUCUCACCGAAGAACGUUAUCUCGGUCAACAACACACAUCCUAAUCUCACCGAAGAACGUAUUCUCGGUCAACACAUCCUAAUCUCACCGAAGAACGUAUUCUCGGUCAACACAUCCUAAUCUCACGGAAGAACGUAUUCUCAGUCAACACAUCCUAAUCUCACGGAAGAACGUAUUCUCGGUCAACACAUCCUAAUCUCACGGAAGAACGUAUUCUCAAACAUGCUACUGCAAGGUUACUCCAAUGUUAUGCCAACCGCUCCUUAGCAACUGUUUGUGUGUCUGUCGCGCGGUACUAGGAUAUCGGUACUGAACAGUGUUGAAAUCUUCAUGUGACAUAAAAUAUAUAGCUGUCAAUCGCCAAGGUACUGAGAGGAACGGAGAACAAUGCAACAACAUAUCAAAGCGUUAGGAUUGGACAACGUCUUGUCGGACUACAUGUGUGUAACAUGUCACGGUUGUGUGUAUUUGACGAUACGUUUUUGUGAACUCGCUGUCUUNNNNNNNNNNNNNNNNNNNNNNNNNAUGAUAACUUUGAAUUUCAGUGUUUGUAUUGCCACAUAGUAUAA
rnacentral:lncRNA from 1 species